GUAGGGAAUAUUGCGCAAUGGGGGCAACCCUGACGCAGCGACGCCGCGUGGAGGACGAAGUCUUUCGGGAUGUAAACUCCUGUCAGUGGGGACGAUAAUGACGGUACCCACAGAGGAAGCACCGGCUAACUCCGUGCCAGCAGCCGCGGUAAGACGGAGGGUGCAAGCGUUGUUCGGAAUUACUGGGCGUAAAGCGUAUGUAGGCGGCAAGUUAAGUUCAAUGUUAAAGCCCACGGCUCAACCGUGGAGAUGCAUUGAAUACUGGCUAGCUAGAGGGUGUUAGAGGAAGACGGAAUUCCCAGUGUAGCGGUGAAAUGCGUAGAUAUUGGGAGGAACAUCGGUAGCGAAAGCGGUCUUCUGGGACAUACCUGACGCUGAGGUACGAAAGCGUGGGGAGCAAACGGGAUUAGAAACCCUUGUAGUCC
rnacentral:rRNA from 1 species